rnacentral:rRNA from 1 species
UACAGAGGUCCCAAGCGUUGUUCGGAUUCACUGGGCGUAAAGGGUGCGUAGGUGGCCAGGUAAGUUCGGUGUGAAAGCUCGGAGCUUAACUCCGAAAUGUCAUUGAAUACUAUCUGGCUAGAGGGUCGGAGGGGAGACUGGAAUUCUCGGUGUAGCAGUGAAAUGCGUAGAUAUCGAGAGGAACACCAGUGGCGAAGGCGAGUCCCUGGACACUUCCUGACACUGAGGCACGAAAGCUAGGGGAGCAAACAGG